UGGUUCCUACGGGGCGCAGCAGUGGGGAAUAUUGGGCAAUGGGCGCAAGCCUGACCCAGCAACGCCGCGUGAAGGAAGAAGGCUUUCGGGUUGUAAACUUCUUUUCUCAGGGACGAAGCAAGUGACGGUACCUGAGGAAUAAGCCACGGCUAACUACGUGCCAGCAGCCGCGGUAAUACGUAGGUGGCAAGCGUUAUCCGGAUUUACUGGGUGUAAAGGGCGUGUAGGCGGGGACGGCAGUCAGAUGUGAAAACCACGGGCUCAACCUGUUGCCUGCAUUUGAAACUGUGGUUCUU
rnacentral:rRNA from 1 species